rnacentral:rRNA from 1 species
AUCUGUAGCGGGUUGAGAGGAUGAUCCCCCCACCCUGGGACUGAGACACGGCCCAGACUCCUACGGGAGGCAGCAGUGGGGAAUAUUGGACAAUGGGGGGAACCCUGAUCCAGCCAUGCCGCGUGUGUGAAGAAGGCCUUUUGGUUGUAAAGCACUUUAAGCGAGGAGGAGGCUACCGAGAUUAAUACUUUUGGAUAGUGGACGUUACUCGCAGAAUAAGCACCGGCUAACUCUGUGCCAGCAGCCGCGGUAAUACAGAGGGUGCAAGCGUUAAUCGGAUUUACUGGGCGUAAAGCGCGCGUAGGUGGCCAAUUAAGUCAAAUGUGAAAUCCCCGAGCUUAACUUGGGAAUUGCAUUCGAUACUGGUUGGCUAGAGUAUGGGAGAGGAUGGUAGAAUUCCAGGUGUAGCGGUGAAAUGCGUAGAGAUCUGGAGGAAUCCCGAUGGCGAAGGCAGCCAUCUGGCCCUAAUACCUGACACUGAGGUGCGAAAGCNAUGGGGNAGCNA